rnacentral:pre_miRNA from 1 species
AACAAACCAAUUUUUCACUUAUUAACUAUAAUGUUUGACUAUUCGUCUUAUUUAAAAAAAUUAUGAUUAAUAUUUUUAUUUUUAUUAGAUAAUAAACCAUGAAUAAUACUUUACGUAUGACUAUUUUUUUCAAAUUCUUAUAAUUUUUUUAAAUAAAACGGAUGGUCAAACACUACACAUGGAAACCAAAAGAUUGGUUUGUU